UGGAGUCACUGUUACUGACUUGACAACAGACCGUCAUUCCAGUGUUAAAAAGUUUAUGCGCGAGAUUUAUCCAUCAAUUAAUCACUGGUUUGAUGCCUGGCAUAUAGCAAAAGGUAUUACAAAAAAGCUUGACGCAUCAUCAAAGAAAAAGUUAUGUCACACCAUCUCACCGUGGAUCCACAGCAUCUCCAACCAUGUAUAUUGGUGUGGGGCAAGCAGUGAUGGAAAUGCUGAGCUGGUUGUGGCCAAGUGGAAGUUGGUGAUGAACCACAUUGUAGACAUCCAUGAACACCCAUUUGAGAACUUUCCAACCUGUGCACAUGAUGAGUUGGUAGAGGACAGAGAGUGGAUUGCAGAAGGUUCAAGGGCCCAUGUUGAGGUGAAAUCAAUUGUCACUAACCGUACUCUGCUUGCCGACAUUGGUAAAUUGUCACCUCAUGUGCAGACGUCAAGUGUUGAAAGCUACCACAAGGUGGUGUGCUUCUUUGCACCAAAGUUCUUGCACUUCUUCUACCACAGUAUGAA